rnacentral:rRNA from 1 species
GACGAACGCUGGCGGCGUGCUUAACACAUGCAAGUCGAGCGGAAAGGCCCCUUCGGGGGUACUCGAGCGGCGAACGGGUGAGUAACACGUGGGUAACCUGCCCCUGGCUCCGGGAUAACCUUGGGAAACCGAGGCUAAUACCGGAUACGACUCGCGACCGCAUGGUCUGCGGGUGGAAAGGAUUCCGGCCAGGGAUGGACUCGCGGCCUAUCAGCUAGUUGGUGGGGUAAUGGCCUACCAAGGCGACGACGGGUAGCCGGCCUGAGAGGGCGACCGGCCACACUGGGACUGAGACACGGCCCAGACUCCUACGGGAGGCAGCAGUGGGGAAUAUUGCGCAAUGGGCGAAAGCCUGACGCAGCAACGCCGCGUGAGGGAUGACGGCCUUCGGGUUGUAAACCUCUUUCAGCUCCGACGAAGCCUUCGGGUGACUGUAGGAGCAGAAGAAGCACCGGCUAACUACGUGCCAGCCGCCGCCGUAACAC